rnacentral:rRNA from 1 species
UACAGAGGUCCCAAGCGUUGUUCGGAUUCACUGGGCGUAAAGAGCGCGCAGGCGGUCGUUCAAGUCGAGUGUGAAAGCCCCCGGCUCAACUGGGGAGGGUCACUCGAUACUGAUCGACUGGAAGGCAGGAGAGGGAAGCGGAAUUCCCAGUGUAGUGGUGAAAUGCGUAGAUAUCGGGAGGAACACCAGUGGCGAAGGCGGCUUCCUGGCUCGCAUCUGACGCUCAGACACGACAGCAUGGGGAGCGAACGGG